rnacentral:rRNA from 1 species
AUUCAGGAAAAGGAUUUUAGUCCUACUUUAAGUUUUUAAUAACAAUAAAUAUUUCUAUAAACUUAAAAGCUAUUCAAAUAAGGUUCAGCUUAUUUGAAAAAGGAUUCAACCUAAAAAACAGGGUAAUGUUUUUAUCUAUUUGACUAAGUGGGCCUAAAAGCAGCCACCUUUAUAAAAGCGUUAAAGCUUUCUCAUAAAUUAAACUAAUCUCUACAACUUUACAAAACCCUUACUCCAUACUGAAUGAUUCUAUAAAACUAUAGAAAACCUUAUGCUAGAACUAGUAACAAGAAGAAGACCUUCUCCAUAAAUGUAAAUAUAAACCGGAAUGAACAAAUCACCGGAACUUAUCGCCAAUGAAAAAAUUAUAGCAACUUUUCAAGAAAAAACUAUUUUAUCAAGCGUUAACCUUACACAAGAACAUUUCAGGAAAGAUUUAAAAAAGAGGAAGGAACUCGGCAAACAAUUAACCCCGCCUGUUUACCAAAAACAUCGCCUUGUGAUAAAAUAUACAAGGUCUAGCCUGCCCGGUGAUUUAUUUUAACGGCCGCGGUACCCUAACCGUGCAAAGGUAGCACAAUCACUUGUUCCUUAAAUAGGGACUAGUAUGAACGGCAUCACGAGGGUUAUGCUGUCUCCCUCUUUUAAUCAGUGAAACUGAUCUCCCCGUGAAGAAGCGAGGAUAUUAUUAUAAGACGAGAAGACCCCAUGGAGCUUUAAACUCAGAAACACCAGCUACUUUUUAAAUCAAAUUAAUUGGCUUCCAUGAUUUCUAGUUUUCGGUUGGGGUGACCAUGGAGUACAACACAACCUCCUUGAUGAACGGAACUAGUUUCCUUAUUUAAGAACUACAGUUCUAAAAAUCAACAUAUUGACAAAAAUUGAUCCAAAUUUUUUUUGAUCAACGAACCAAGUUACCCUGGGGAUAACAGCGCAAUCCAUUUCAAGAGCUCAUAUCGACAAAUGGGUUUACGACCUCGAUGUUGGAUCAGGGUAUCCCAGUGGUGCAGCCGCUACUAAAGGUUCGUUUGUUCAACGAUUAAAACCCU